rnacentral:rRNA from 1 species
GAUGAACGCUGGCGGCGUGCCUAAUACAUGCAAGUCGAGCGAACGGACGAGAAGCUUGCUUCUCUGAUGUUAGCGGCGGACGGGUGAGUAACACGUGGAUAACCUACCUAUAAGACUGGGAUAACUUCGGGAAACCGGAGCUAAUACCGGAUAAUAUUUUGAACCGCAUGGUUCAAAAGUGAAAGACGGUCUUUCUGUCACUUAUAGAUGGAUCCGCGCUGCAUUAGCUAGUUGGUAAGGUAACGGCUUACCAAGGCAACGAUGCAUAGCCGACCUGAGAGGGGGAUCGGCCACACUGGAACUGGGACACGGUCCAGGCUCCUACGGGAGGCAGCAGUAGGGAAUCUUCCGCAAAGGGCGAAAGCCUGACGGAGCAACGCCGCGUGAGUGAUGAAGGUCUUCGGAUCGUAAAACUCUGUUAUUAGGGAAGAACAUAUGUGUAAGUAACUGUGCACAUCUUGACGGUACCUAAUCAGAAAGCCACGGCUAACUACGUG